rnacentral:rRNA from 1 species
UGGGGAAUCUUGCGCAAUGGGCGAAAGCCUGACGCAGCAACGCCGCGUGAGGGAUGAAGGUCUUCGGGUUGUAAACCUCUUUCAAGCAGGGACGAUAAUGACGGUACCUGCAGAAGAAGCUCCGGCCAACUACGUGCCAGCAGCCGCGGUAAUACGUAGGGAGCGAGCGUUGUCCGGAUUCAUUGGGCGUAAAGAGCUCGUAGGUGGCUUGGUAAGUCGGGUGUGAAACCUCUAGGCUCAACCUAGAGAUGCCACUCGAUACUGCCAUAGCUAGAGUCCGGUAGGGGCCCACGGAAUUCCUGGUGUAGCGGUGAAAUGCGCAGAUAUCAGGAGGAACACCGGUGGCGAAGGCGGUGGGCUGGGCCGGCACUGACACUGAGGAGCGAAAGCGUGGGGAGCGAACAGGAUUAGAUACCCCUGUAGUCC